UACGUAGGGGGCGAGCGUUGUCCGGAAUUACUGGGCGUAAAGCGCACGUAGGUGGCUAUCUAAGAUGGGCGUGAAAUCUCCGGGCUCACCUCGGAGGGGUCGUCCGUGACUGGGUGGCUUGGGGCUGGUAGAGGCAGGUGGAAUUCCCGGUGGAGCGGUGAAAUGCGUAGAGAUCGGGAGGAACACCAGUGGCGAAGGCGACCUGCUGGGCCAGUACCGACGCUGAGGUGCGAAAGCCAGGGGAGCAAACGGG
rnacentral:rRNA from 1 species